UAAUACAGAGGGUGCUAGCGUUAAUCGGAAUUACUGGGCGUAAAGGGUGUGUAGGUGGUUUGAUAAGUUAGAUGUGAAAUCCCCGGGCUUAACCUGGGAACUGCGUUUAAAACUGUUGAGCUAGAGUACUGUAGAGGAUAGUGGAAUUUCCAGUGUAGCGGUGAAAUGCGUAGAUAUUGGAAGGAACACCAGUGGCGAAGGCGACUAUCUGGACAGAUACUGACACUGAGACACGAAAGCGUGGGGAGCAAACAGG
rnacentral:rRNA from 1 species